UCCAGACUCCUACGGGAGGCAGCAGUGAGGAAUAUUGGUCAAUGGGCGGGAGCCUGAACCAGCCAAGUCGCGUGAGGGAUGACGGCCCUAUGGGUUGUAAACCUCUUUUGCCGGGGAGCAAAGUGCCGCACGUGUGCGGUUUGGAGAGUACCCGGAGAAAAAGCAUCGGCUAACUCCGUGCCAGCAGCCGCGGUAAUACGGAGGAUGCGAGCGUUAUCCGGAUUUAUUGGGUUUAAAGGGUGCGUAGGCGGAAUGCCAAGUCAGCGGUAAAAUCGCGGGGCUCAACCUCGCUCCGCCGUUGAAACUGGCAGUCUCGAGUUGGAGAGAAGUAUGCGGAAUGCGCGGUGUAGCGGUGAAAUGCAUAGAUAUCGCGCAGAACUCCGAUUGCGAAGGCAGCAUGCCGGCUUCCGACUGACGCUGAAGCACGAAAGCGUGGGGAUCGAACAGGAUUAGAUACCCUCGUAAAU
rnacentral:rRNA from 1 species